UGGGGGAUAUUGCACAAUGGGCGAAAGCCUGAUGCAGCGACGCCGCGUGGGGGAUGAAGGCUUUCGGGUUGUAAACCUCUUUCGCUAUCGAACAAGGACCGCUUAGGGUGGGGUGAGGGUAGGUGGAGAAGAAGCGCCGGCUAACUACGUGCCAGCAGCCGCGGUAAUACGUAGGGCGCGAGCGUUGUCCGGAAUUAUUGGGCGUAAAGGGCUUGUAGGCGGCUUGUUGCGCCUGCUGUGAAAACGCGGGGCUUAACUUCGCGCGUGCAGUGGGUACGGGCAGGCUUGAGUGUGGUAGGGGUGACUGGAAUUCCAGGUGUAGCGGUGGAAUGCGCAGAUAUCUGGAGGAACACCGAUGGCGAAGGCAGGUCACUGGGCCAUUACUGACGCUGAGGAGCGAAAGCAUGGGUAGCGAACAGG
rnacentral:rRNA from 1 species